UACGAAGGGGGCUAGCGUUGCUCGGAAUUAUUGGGCGUAAAGGGCGCGUAGGCGGCGCCACAAGUCACUUGUGAAAACUCUGGGCUCAACCCAGAGCCUGCAGGCGAAACUGUGGUGCUGGAGUAUGGGAGAGGAGCGUGGAAUUCCCAGUGUAGAGGUGAAAUUCGUAGAUAUUGGGAAGAACACCGGUGGCGAAGGCGGCGCUCUGGACCGAGACUGACGCUGAGGCGCGAAAGCGUGGGGAGCAAACAGG
rnacentral:rRNA from 1 species